CUUGGGACUCCAGGUCAGCCCAUGACACUGCAGCCCUGUCCUACAGGAAGAUUCCCGUUUUGUCUGACAUGGUUUUCAAUAUCAUAAACGUUUGUACUGCAGUCACUGCUGUUUAACAUCAGUGACAGGUUACAUUUCCAUUAUGGUGUAAUAGCAUAUCCAGGUCAUAUCUGAAGAUAAAUGAUGGACACAAUUCUGAAGCAUAGAACAAGCUGCACAUUCAAAACUUGAGAACCACACUCUUCGUACACACCAGCCAGAGGUGGCCCUUAUCCUCCUCCCCAUUCUAGUUGGAGCAGGAAGAUCUAUCAGGCUGAGUGAAGUCACUGGUCUCAACUCCUACCUGUUCAGAACUUUCCAGGAGACUAGCUGGCUAAUGCAAUUUUAUUUCACAAGCACUGGUCUAGAUCCCAGCUAUUCAAACUGUGGUUCUUGGAUCAGUAGCAGCAACAUCACCUGGAGACUGCAGAAAAUGAGGAUCAUCCACCCUGGCGGAGACCCAUUGAAUCCGAGGCUGCAUUUUCACAUGGAUUGAGCAACCCUGGUCUGGAUGAUUAUUGCUCUCAAACAUUUUUUAAAGCCAGGAAAUAUUUUAUUCAAAGGAAAUCUAAGUGGAAGAAGGCUACAAAGAUAUGCAAUGGUGGGACGCUCUGCUUUUCAGGUCUAAUGACAGGGAAACCUUAAUCCUUCUGAGAUGCCUUUGUCACCCUCCACAACUUCACCCUGGCUUCUGCCCUCUUGAGUAAAGCAUAGUUGGAAAACCCCUGAUCUAGAGUGUCUUCAGAGUCUCGAAGGUAUAUGGACACAAUAAAUGUCCAAUGUUUCAUAAUUCAGACCUGCAUUCAAGUUUAUGAGAAGCAGAAUAACAAACUUUGCCAUGACUAUGGACGUAUUAGGUUAGUGAAAACACAACUGCGGUUUUUGCCAUCACUUUUAAAAACUGCAAUUACUUUCGCACCAACCUAGUGGUUUCAUGGUGCCGUCGUGAACUUGUCUGGGCCAGUGGUUGCCAAACUGGUCCAGUCAUCACAAUCAUUAGAGAAUGUUCUUUGAAAAAUGAAAAUCCUGUGGAAUCAGAAUUUCCAAGGGAAGUAAGCCGGCAGUCUACUUAUUUAAGAGUUCCCCAGGUGAAUUGAAAGAGUUGCAGGAAAUUCAGCUACAACCUUCAAAAGAGCAAUACCAUCUUUCUCAAGAGUUGUUUUUUGACUUGAGUUACUCAAAUAAAUGCUUCAACUGUAUAUCUGUUAGUUAAACCCAAGUUUUUGCUUUAUAUUUCUAACUCUAUAUUCUGUUAAUUUCUACAAAAUAAAAGGUGC
ensembl:lincRNA